ensembl:lncRNA
AGAGCCUGGGAACCACGACUCCUGAGCCCUCAUGCCCUAGAGCCCAUACUCCACAACAAGAGAAGCCACUGCAAUGAGAAGCGAUCUGGAGCAAACAGAUCCACACACUUUGCAAACUUUAUCUUUAAGCCUCACACGCCCCUGGAGGUAAGUCAGGGGCGUGUGGAGGAUCCACCCUACUUAACGAGAAAGGAUUUCCCCCAAGCUGCAGUCAAACCAACACGCAAGCCUCCCGUUUCCCAUAUCCAAGGAGCACAAAUCCUCACAUGCUUGAUUCAUUUUACUGUGAACUUUGUUACACCUGGAUUGAAUCCCUUGCGGACAAAGGUCUGUGACCUUGCGCUUGCCCUCUUUUCUUGGACCUUACUUUUCUCAUCUGAAAAAAUGCACCUGAAAACUGCUACUUCCCAGGGCAGUUGUGAAGAUCUAAAGGAGAGCAUAUGUGGAAGUUCUUAGUACAGCAUGAACAAAGCCACUCAUGGAUAAUUGGAAGAAACCCUUGGACUUCCCUGGUGGUACAGUGGAUUAGAGUCUGAUGCCAGUGCAGGGGACAUGGGUUCAAUCCCUGGUCCAGGAAGAUUCCACAUGCCUCAGAGCCUGCGUGUCACAACUACUGAAACCCAUACACCUGUGCUCCACAUCAAGCGAAGCCACUGCAAUGAGAAGCCAUUCCACUGCAAUGAAGAGUAGCCCCGGCUUGCUGCAACUAGAGAAAGCCUGCUCUCAGUAACAAAGACCCUGCGUAACCAAAAAUAAAUAAGCGCACGGGUCGUGGGGUUGAGGAAGCCGAUGGCGUCACCAUCCACAGCCGCCGAAAGCAACUUCCUACUCCCCCUGGGCCUCUGCUGUGGGAACGCUUCCCCUAGCGCUGCAGGAAUCUUUCCCCUUAAACCGGGGAAGAUUCCUUAAUCCGUUUUCGUGGUAAACGACCUCGGGCCAAGACUCCUUUUGUUGCUGGUUUCUUAAACUUAAUUGCAAGCAAAGUUAAUUUGAAAGAAAAUAAAUGUUACAGCUCUGGGGCGAAUUCUAACGAGCCUUGGGAAAUUAGAGAAGAACGCAUCUAAUUACCCACAGCCCGGGGGGCGCCUGCACACGACGCUGGGGGUGCAGAGCCCAGAUAGGGGCACACAAUUUUUUUGGUUUCAAGAU